rnacentral:piRNA from 1 species
UUCCAAAUCAAGAUGGACUCGCAGGAGACUA